rnacentral:rRNA from 1 species
AUAGCUUUUUGAGAAGAAGGUUAAAUUGAGAAUUGAUGAAACUUAAAUGUUUUUACAAGUAACUGUUUUAAAUAUCUGACCUAUCAACUUGAAGGUAUGAUAGAGGCAUACCCAAGUGAUAACGGGUAACGAGAAAUAAGGGUUUGAUUUCGGAGAGGGAGCUUUAAAAAUGGCUACCACUUCUAAGGAAGGCAGCAGGCGCGCAAAUUACCCACUUUUAAUUUAGAGAGGUAGUGACGAUAAUUAAUAGGAUUUGUUUUAUAACAAGUUCAAUUGUAAUGAUUAGAGUGUAAAAAAAUUUAAGAAAUCGAUUGGAGGGCAAGUCUGGUGCCAGCAGCCGCGGUAAUUCCAGCUCCAAUAGUGUAUAUUAAAGUUGUUGUGUUUAAAAAGCUCGUAGUCGAAUUAUAGGGUUUUUAUGUUAGUAAUUCUAUUACUAGGAUAGAAAAAGGAGAAAGGUUAUUUAUAAUCUUUUAUUUACUUUGAAAAAAAUAGAGUGUUCAAAGCAAAAGUCAAUUAAUGUAUAAUGAAGCAUAGGAUAAUAAUGAGGAGAAGAAAUUUUUGAGAACAGUAUUAAAAAGGGAAAUUGGGGUAAUUUAGACAA